rnacentral:rRNA from 1 species
GCAGCCGCGGUAAUUCCAGCUCCAAUAGCGUAUAUUAAAGUUGUUGCAGUUAAAAAGCUCGUAGUUGAAUUUCGAGAUCAGUACGCUGGUCGUGCCUUCGGUAUGCACUGGUGUCACUGGUUUCUCCCUUCUGAAGAACCUUGAUGUCAUUAAUUUGGUGUCUUGGGGAAUCAGGACUGUUACUUUGAAAAAAUUAGAGUGUUUAAAGCAGGCAUACGCUUGAAUACAUUAGCAUGGAAUAAUGAAAUAGGACGUUUGAUCCUAUUUUGUUGGUUUCUAGGAUCGACGUAAUGAUUAACAGGGAUAGUUGGGGGCAUUAGUAUUCAAUUGUCAGAGGUGAAAUUCUUGGAUUUAUUGAAGACUAACUACUGCGAAAGCAUUUGCCAAGGAUGUUUUCAUUAAUCAAGAACGAAAGUUAGGGGAUCGAAGACGAUCAGAUACCGUCGUAGUCUUAACCAUAAACUAUGCCGACUAGGGAUCGGAUGAUGUUAAUUUUUUAAUGACUCA